rnacentral:rRNA from 1 species
UACGAAGGGGGCUAGCGUUGUUCGGAAUUACUGGGCGUAAAGGGCGCGUAGGCGGUGUGUCAAGUCAGGCGUGAAAGCCCCGGGCUCAACCUGGGAACAGCGCUUGAGACUGGCACGCUCGAGUUCGGGAGAGGAUGGUGGAAUUCCCAGUGUAGAGGUGAAAUUCGUAGAUAUUGGGAAGAACACCGAUGGCGAAGGCAGCCAUCUGGACCGACACUGACGCUGAGGAGCGAAAGCCAGGGGAGCAAACGGG